GAUGAACGCUGGCGGUAUGCUUAACACAUGCAAGUCGAACGGUCACUUCGGUGAUAGUGGCGGACGGGUGAGUAACGCGUGAGAAUCUGUCUUCAGGUCGGGGACAACAGUUAGAAAUGACUGCUAAUACCGGAUGUGCCUUUGGGUGAAAGAUUUAUUGCCUGAAAAAGAGCUCGCGUCAGAUUAGCUAGUAGGUGGUGUAAGAGACUACCUAGGCUCCGAUCUGUAGCUGGUCUGAGAGGACGAUCAGCCACACUGGAACUGAGACACGGUCCAGACUCCUACGGGAUGCAGCAGUGGGGAAUUUUCCGCAAUGGGCGAAGGCCUGACGGAGCAAUACCGCGUGAGGGACGAAGACUUUUGGGUCGUAAACCUCUUUUCUCAAGGAAGAUGAUGACGGUACUUGAGGAAUAAGCAUCGGCUAACUCUGUG
rnacentral:rRNA from 1 species